rnacentral:lncRNA from 1 species
GUGUUCUCUCUGAAUGAUAGAAUUAUCAUUUAUCAUAUGAUGACUGUUGUACUAUCUGAUGAUGGUUAGAUUGAUCGAGCCAUUCUCAGAUUUAAUCAUUCAUUAGUUAGAAACACUGAGUAGGUUCAUGUUAAUGGUUUGACCUAACCGAAACUUUCAAUAGAGGCCCAUCACCUACUGAAAUAAAAUUUGAGAUAAA